rnacentral:tRNA from 2 species
GGCCCCAUCGUCUAGAGGCCCAGGACGUCGGGUUCUCAGUCCGAAGACACCGGUUCGACUCCGGUUGGGGCUACCA